UAGGGAAUCUUCGGCAAUGGACGGAAGUCUGACCGAGCAACGCCGCGUGAGUGAAGAAGGUUUUCGGAUCGUAAAGCUCUGUUGUAAGUCAAGAACGAGUGUGAGAGUGGAAAGUUCACACUGUGACGGUAUCUUACCAGAAAGGGACGGCUAACUACGUGCCAGCAGCCGCGGUAAUACGUAGGUCCCGAGCGUUGUCCGGAUUUAUUGGGCGUAAAGCGAGCGCAGGCGGUUAGAUAAGUCUGAAGUUAAAGGCUGUGGCUUAACCAUAGUAGGCUUUGGAAACUGUUUAACUUGAGUGCAAGAGGGGAGAGUGGAAUUCCAUGUGUAGCGGUGAAAUGCGUAGAUAUAUGGAGGAACACCGGUGGCGAAAGCGGCUCUCUGGCUUGUAACUGACGCUGAGGCUCGAAAGCGUGGGGAGCAAACAGGAUUAGAUACCCUGGUAGUCCACGCUGUAAACGAUGAGUGCUAGGUGUUAGACCCUUUCCGGGGUUUAGUGCCGUAGCUAACGCAUUAAGCACUCCGCCUGGGGAGUGCGACCGCAAGGUUG
rnacentral:rRNA from 1 species